rnacentral:rRNA from 1 species
AUGGCCCGCUUGUAUGUUGGCAACUUGGAUGCCCGGGUGACUGCUGGGGAACUUGAAGACGAGUUCCGUGUGUUUGGAGUUUUGCGAAGUGUCUGGGUUGCACGUAAGCCACCUGGUUUUGCGUUUAUCGAUUUUGAUGACAAGCGGGAUGCUGAGGAUGCACUUCGUGAUCUAGAUGGCAAGAAUGGAUGGAGGGUUGAGCUGUCUCGCAAUGACCGUGGUGACCGUGGAGGUCGUGGUGGUGGUGGUGGUGGCGGCGGCGGCGGUCGUGAUCGUGGUGGGUCUGAUAUGAAAUGCUAUGAAUGUGGUGAAUCUGGGCAUUUUGCUCGUGAAUGUCGUCUGCGUAUUGGUUCUGGUGGUCUGGGCAGUGGAAGGCGUCGCAGCAGGAGCCGCAGUCGCAGCCGCAGUCCUAGGUACCGUAGGAGUCCGAGCUAUGGCAGAAGAAGUUACAGCCCUCGUGAUCGCUCUCCAAGACGCCGCAGUGCUUCUCCAGCCCCAGCCCGUGGUCGCAGCUAUAGCAAGUCACCGGUCCGUGCCAGGGAUGAUUCUCCUGAUGCUAAAGGGUAUCGCCGCAGCCGGAGUUAG